rnacentral:rRNA from 1 species
GGAAUCUUCCACAAUGGACGAAAGUCUGAUGGAGCAACGCCGCGUGAGUGAUGAAGGUUUUCGGAUCGUAAAACUCUGUUGUAAGGGAAGAACAAGUACGAGAGGUAAUGCUCGUACCUUGACGGUACCUUGCGAGAAAGCCACGGCUAACUACGUGCCAGCAGCCGCGGUAAUACGUAGGUGGCAAGCGUUGUCCGGAAUUAUUGGGCGUAAAGCGCGCGCAGGCGGCCUUUUAAGUCUGAUGUGAAAGCCCCCGGCUCAACCGGGGAGGGUCAUUGGAAACUGGAAGGCUUGAGUACAGAAGAGAAGAGUGGAAUUCCAUGUGUAGCGGUGAAAUGCGUAGAGAUGUGGAGGAACACCAGUGGCGAAGGCGACUCUUUGGUCUGUAACUGACGCUGAGGCGCGAAAGCGUGGGGAGCAAACAGGAUUAGAUACCCUAG